GUAAUGAGACCAAGAUAACAGAGUAUUUAAUUCAGGAGCAGCAUGAUUUCAGAAGAAAUGAUUUUAGUGUUUCUGAAACACAAGUUCUCAGAAAGAGGUGGAUGUCAGCAGACAUAAUAAAAUAAUAGUUUAAACAUUCAAAAAGGUAUAGAUUGAAUAGAUUUGGAGGGCACUUUGAAGCACAAGAUCUUGAAGUAAUUUAUUAAUUCCAUGAAGCAAAAGUUAGUGGCAGAAAUAGGAAUAUAACUUAGCCAUUUUAACAGCCUUCCUGUUAGUAAAUAUACUAUCCCCUCCUGUGUCUAUCCCAGUCCACCUGCCCUUUUCCUUCUUUUUCCUGUCCUUCCUAAAGUUUUAGCUCUAAUAUGAGUUUUGGGAGAUACUCCUCUUUCUGAUAGGUAGGAUUUUAGUGGCAGAAGUCAGGACUUUUCAAAACUUCUCUUUGGAUGUCCUAUCCAAGCAGGCUGUAAGUCUGAUAACCCUCUAGGUUAGUGAAUAGGAAAUCCUGGCUUGUAAUAUGGUUUCUACUGCUAAAGGCAUAUAAUAAGUUACUAACUUGUUUUGUGCUUCAGUUCACUCCUGUGAGGUAGGGAUAGUCAUUCCUGUAGUAUCUUAAGAUUUAAAAUAUUUUAUCUCUUGAACUGAAAUUUACUAACCAAGGAAUCCCACUGCACUCCUGUAGUAAUUUAUGAUGUAUACUAAAUAGGCUUGAAUGGAAGGAUCUUGUUCUGUUGCUGAUAAAAAUAGCCAGCAUUAGGGUGUAUUCACUAUGUGAUUACUUGGAACGUGGAGGAUUUGUGAACCUCCAUUCCGCUGCCUUCCCCACUUCCCCCUCCCUGAAGAUCACUUACAUGUUAAGAAUAAUUACUUUCAGAUUUCACCAUAUUCAAACUAUAUUAGAUGGUCCUUACAUAGCGUAUAUAUCCUGGCUGCUGUUGUGGGGUUCGGGAACAUGAGGGGUGGGGUGAAUUGUUGUUGUUUUAGGUUUCAGUCAGACAGCCAUCCCUGUGCCCCAGUUCCCAGAAGCACAGCAGGCCUCUAGGAGCAUCCGUGGGAACGGCGCAGUCCUGACAUCAGCAACUCUCCUGCUCAGGCUCAUCCCAUAUACAGAGGUCAAAGGGUGGGGCUUGAGAUGGGGGAAGGAAUGAAAAAGCAGAAACAAUGUCACUGCAGUGCCACUGUUGACCAGCCUUUCUCUAGUGCUUAUGUCAGUGUUUGCUUUAUUUUUUUUAAGUUGACCAAAAAAGAUUUUACUUUGGGAGUAAAGGUAGUGGGAGGGUGGAACAAAAACAUGCCAUUUUUACUAGUUCAUUAUCAUCACUAGCUCAUUCUUGCAUAUUGUUCUUUAGUAGCUAAUAAAGAAUAAGUGAAACCUAGACCUCAUUAAUAAGGAGAAUGUUAAUACAAGUGAAUCUCAGGAUACUAAAAAAGAGAAAAAGCAUUUUUGUGGUAUUAAUUUCCAGUUCUACAACAGUUAUUAUAUUUGUCACUCUUGUCUCCCUUUUUUUGCCCUAAUUCUUCUAUGUAUGUUUACAGUAUGAGAAAAUGUUCCUUUUUUCUUUUUUUUUUUUUGUGGUCAGUCCUUUUAAAAGGACCUAAUGAAAUUACUACUCUUUUGCAAAAAAAAAAAAAUACACCCAUUGCUUAUAUGGGCAUACAAAUGCUACCCUAUUUUAAAUGUAGGUGGCGUAUGUGUUCGUGUUUUAAUGUAUUCAGAGCCAUUGGGCAAUAAGCAGUCCAGAACAUUGAAAACUCAAGCAGGUAAAGCACCUAACACCCUUAGUUUCUAGAAUUACUUUUAAAAACUCCUUUAUUGCUGCAUCUUCCACGAGUCUUUUGGUAGUCUCUGAACUUAAACUUUGUAGGAGUUGUAGACUACCUAGUUAAAUUGUUAAGUUAUGCAUUUAUUAUUUGUAGGGACAGGUGAAGAAGAAAAGUGUUAACAGACAAGAAAUGGCUCCUUGAGAUGGCAACUGCUGAGUGUCUGAAUCUCUCCCCCUCCCCCUCCCCCAGCUUAGCAUGAACAUUGAUCAUACCUGUUUUGAUUUUCUGUGAUUGGGAUUUUUGUUGUUUUAACUUUUGGUGGGGAGGUUUCAGGGAAACAGGAAUUUCAUGCACAUGUGAAAAUAUGAAAUGUUAAACAAAGGAAGCUUUCUAUUUAAUGUGACUAGUAAGCGAGAACCUUUUCUAUAUACUCUUCUGCUGCAGCAGAGAAAUAAACUGGUAGGUGGCAGCAGAAGAAAGAAUUCUUCAGAUUGAUGGCUACUGGCAGUCUGCAUAGAAGAGAGAGAACGUGACAUACCAUGUCCAGCAACAGGGCAGAAAUGGAAACAGGACUGCAGUUGCUGAUCUUGACUUUAAAAUGGUUCUUUUGGUCUCACAGAAUGGAUGAAGAUUGAUCUUGACUGAAUGCUUUUUCAAAUGGAGGAUAGAAGUAACACAAAACAAGGCAGCCGUAGCUCUCCAGUGUUUAAUUCAAUGUGCUUUCUUUAUAAAAUAAAAACACCAGAAGUGGGAAUGAAA